AUUUUAGUCAGAGUAAUAGAUUAUCUUGUCAAUUAAAUCUGAAUGAAAGUGAAAUGUUUAGAAAUGCAGAUUUUCAACUUCAUUAUAUUUAUUAUAGUUCUUUGUGGUUAAGAUGGUUGUAUGUAUGAAACUUGUGGAAUAUUUUUCCUCGUCCUUCUCUCUUGUCUCAACAAGAUCCACUGAUGGACAUACUCACUUUUUCUCCAGAAGCUGGCAGGCGUGGCAGGAUUAUCCUUGCUGCCUCGCUUCCCAAUUGUGGGAGCUGGACAGUAUGAGCCUUUUUUUUGUUAUAAAAUUGCCAAGCUUUUGAUACAGUUGGAAUUUUUUUUUUUUUUUUUUGCCAUGAUGUUGCAAAGCAAAUAUCUUUUUCCAUGCCCUUUCUAUUAUUAUGUAGAUCAAAGCAGAACAACAUGAGCAACAACAAAUGCUCUGGCAGAGGAAACUUCUGGGCUGGGGACAUUGCCAGGGCCCCUCAUCUCUCACCCUGCCCUUCAUCAUAGUUUGAGACAGGCCUGAACAGCCUCAGGAAUCCCUUCGCCGAACACCUCAUCUCUGCAGGCCCGGCCCUCACAGAUGGUGCCAUGAGCAAGCAUGAAGACAACUGUGCGGAUAAUCUACACACUAGGAGCCUGAGUUUCAAGGCAUUUCCCCUUCCAGUUAGCCCUCCAGUCCCCACCACUAAACACCCUUUUCCCUCCCAAAAUAAAUGGCUUACAGUUAAUAUUAAAC